GCGGAUGUGGCGGAACUGGCAGACGCGUACGGUUGAGGGCCGUAUGAUAAUUGCAUCGUGUGGGUUCGAGUCCCACCAUCCGCACCA
rnacentral:tRNA from 1 species